UGACAUGGCCGCGGCGUGGAUCCGUGAACCCACGUGUUUACUCGUGUGUACGUGCGAGCUGUCAUCCUACGUCGGCUGUUCCCUUUUCAGAGAUCAAUUGAUAAAAACGUAGGAUAAUACGGGACAGCGAGUGAGUCGAAAGAAGUGCAAGUGAACCACGUGAAACUCAUCAAUGGAAGACGAGAGCGAUACUUCGGACGAGAGCUUGGACGCGGGAAGUGACAAGUUCGACCCGUUGAAAGCAUUAUAUUCCUCCAAGAUGCGACUGGUGUCCUCGGCCCCGACCUACGACAACAUUUCGAAAUUCGAGGCCGUGUUGAAGGGCAUCGACGUGACGAGAAAAAGUAGCAAAUCGAUUGUGCCAGGACCCUCAAGGCAGAGAUUUUUACCUCAUCAAGAACCAGUGCCCGCUAAAAGACGUGAACCGAAGAAUGUACUCUCAAAAAUGCAAAAGACCCACGGUCCGUUAGGAAUGCUUUACGGAUGCAUGGAAAAGAGAAUCAAGAUUAGGGUCUACACCAGGAACGCGCGCGGCAUAAGGGGACACGUGGAGGCAUACGUGGCUGCCUUCGACAAGCACUGGAACCUCGCGCUGGAGGACUGCUUCGAGGUCUGGUCCCGCAAAGUCAAGAGGAAAGCACCCGCUCUCGGCGCUGAUGCAGUCAAGGUGGAAGAGGCAGAAAGCGGAACCCCUAAGACGAUGGUGAGAAGAAAGGAGCGAAAGACGGAGACCUUGGAGAGACACGUGCCGCAGAUGCUGCUGAGGGGAGAACAAGUCGCUAUAAUCGUCAAAAUCAAUUGACUAUCGCCUUAAGGGCCGUUCAUCCGGCACGUGCAUCCAAUUGCGUAUACACAGCCGAUCCAACAACCGUUUUCCCGUCAUCUAUCAUCCGUUAUUUAUUCCUUUUGACGAAAUAGCUUACAAAAGGAGGAGGAAAUCAAAUCCCUGGAGGACGUCAAGGCUGGACUUUCUCGCGACGCGGAUGUAAUAAGGACUCCUAGGAGAGUCUGGAAAAGGAGGAAUAAAAAAACGUCGAGAUGAAAAAAAGAAGAAAGAGGAGGAAGAGUCCGUCUAUAUAACCGAGAGACACGGCCUUCGGGCGCGCGCGUGUCGGAUACGUAUACAGAAGCAGUUAUACGGUAAGCGGCUUCGGAGUAGGAGCCGAUAGAAUCCGCUCUAAUCCGCGCGAGCAUCGAACGAGGAAGUCGAAGGCGGCGGCGGCGAAGAAAGUUAAUUCGCGAUUGUCCGGCGUCGCGCCGUUCCACCGUGACUAACUCACGCACCGCGACGAGGGACUGGUUUUUCCCUUCUGAAUUAGACUUUAAAAGGACAAAACUUCUAAAAAAUUAUAAUCAAGCUGAAUUGUUGCGGAGACCUUUAUUUCGAUGCUCUAAUGAAAUCCUGAAAAGUACCCUUUUCAUUUCAGCCAAGGCGUUUUUUAUGGGAGGGUAAAUUUUGCCAUUAUCUCG